CCCAUCACUAAAAUUAAUUUUUUGUCUCAUAAAGAUAAUAAUGAAUAUCAAUAGAUUUUAUGAAUAUAUGGUAAUGAAGGUGAUAGAAAUCAUAUUGGCUAUGAUAUUUUUUUUUAUAUUUUGGAAAUUACGUUGUGAAAGUGUUUAUCCUUUAGUUUGUAUUUUUUUUAACAUUCAUUUUUGAAUGGUCAUAUUAAAAAUAUUUCAAAUUAGUUACAUUAUAUUAUGAUAAUGUUAAAAUAUAAACUAUAUUACUAAGCAAUCAAUAAAAAAAGAUUUUUAAUAUCUUAUGACACUCAUUUUAAUAACAAAGAAAUUGCAAAGAAAAACUUAUCUAUUUUAGAUUUAUUACAAAAUCAAAAUAAGAUUGACAAAUAUUUAAAAAUACAAUAAUAUAAAAAAUUAAUGUAGAUACUUUAAAUUUUUUCAAUAAUUUCCGCCUGAAUUUCUAAAAAUUCAAAGUUUACAAGAACAAUCAUGCAUAAAAUUACUACCUAGACACCUUAACUGACAUGAAUUACAAAUAGUGAGAAAUGCAUAGAAAAGAGCAUCACACAUUAAAAUGAUGGGUAAUAUUCAUAUGACUUAAAUAACUUAUUAUAUAUAAAAGACAAUAUAAUUCAAGAAGUUUAAUAUGAAAAUAAUUUGUCCACAAUUAAUAGGAUGAAUUUAUAUUCCAUGAAAAACUCUUUUUUUCAUUUAAGCUUUGAAGUUUUAUAUUUGUAUGCCAAGCUCACAACAUCCCACACCCUAAAGACUCAUAAAAUACAACUAGUAAACCACCAUCAUGCAAU
rnacentral:lncRNA from 1 species